AAUAUGAUUGAAAAUAUGUCAGUUGUUGAUUCAACGUUGAAAUAACCUUUAAUGCUACAUGGUUGAAAAAGGUUAACAAAAACACUUCUAAAUCAACGUUGAAUGAAAACAUUACGUUGUUUCAACAUACAGAUCUUGUAAAAAAAAAUCAACGUUGAUUUAGAAGUGUUUCUGCCUUUUAACGUAUUAUUAUGAUAAUUAAUUAGCAUUUAAUGAGUUUUUGAUCAUAACAGCUCUUCAAUGUAUAUGUUAAAAUAUAAUUAUCAUUAUUAACAAUAAUAGUUUCACCCUCAAGACAGCAGUGCAGCAGAAACCUUUUGCCUUAUGUGAUUUUGUGUGAAUUUACAAUUUUGUCUGCUUGCCUAACAGUUUACAUUGCAUUAUUACAUUUUUAUUCAUACACUGUCAUGUCAUUUGACCAAUUAAUUAAAUAAUAAUACAGACUGCAAAUAAAACUUAAUACACAGCUAUGUUAACUCGCGCAAACUAUUGCUAUUGUUAUUGGUUGUUUCGCCGUUUUACUUUGAGCAUGAUUGGUUAAUCUGUCUGUUUUCCAGGAAACCGUCCAAUGAGAAUGUGCGUGGCUCUGCGUGGCUCUGCGCGCCUAUUUUAAAUUUGAAAAUAUGUCCGUUACUCUCGGUCGGAGCAGCUGCUUUGCGUUGAUUACUCGGUCAGACCUGGAUUAUUUUAUAUCUGCCUGUUGAAUUCUUACAUUUUGAGCGAAUUUUUGUUGAUAUGUCAACGAAGAACAAAAGCUGGAAUGUGAACAGAGGAAGGGGUUGUACGUGGUCUGUAAAAACUGGCGAUAUCAGAUCAAGCAUUGGAAUACGAUUUUUAUCGGGGGAAAACACCCAACAGAAAGACACAUGAUUCACCAACUGGCGCACUGAAACGGGAGAUUCAUGUCACCUUCAUCAGUUCUUUCUUUAAUCACUGGACACCAUUAAGGGAAAGACCCUCAGAUACCAUGAUAAAUGCGGCUGCAGGUCAAGGCCUGGUGAGAGCCACUACAGAGGAUCAUAGCCAUCGUUGGAAUUCUGAAAGGACGUGGGUGAAUAUCAAUCUGCCAAAUGAACAUUCACAUCUGUAUUUUAAUACUGUGUAACGAUAUUCCCUUUGUAAUCAUCGGGAAGAAGGAGGCGGGAACCGGCGCACAAUCAAAAAGCAUUUUAAUAAUCAAAAAUAAAUACAAAACGGUAAUACACAAAUAAAAAGCAAACAUAAAAUAA